rnacentral:rRNA from 1 species
GGGCCCGCACAAGCGGUGGAGCAUGUGGUUUAAUUCGACGCAACGCGCAGAACCUUACCAGGCCUUGACAUCCCGUGCUACCUCCUGAGAGGGAGGGUCCCCGCAAGGGGCGCGGAGACAGGUGCUGCAUGGCUGUCGUCAGCUCGUGUCGUGAGAUGUUGGGUUAAGUCCCGCAACGAGCGCAACCCUCGCCUUUAGUUGCCAUCAUUUAGUUGGGCACUCUAAAGGGACCGCCGGCGACAAGCCGGAGGAAGGUGGGGAUGACGUCAAGUCCUCAUGGCCCUUACGGCCUGGGCUACACACGUGCUACAAUGGCGGUGACAGUGGGCAGCGACCACGCGAGUGGAUGCGAAUCCCAAAAAACCGUCCCAGUUCAGAUUGCACUCUGCAACUCGGGUGCAUGAAGGUGGAAUCGCUAGUAAUCGCAGAACAGCAGGCUGCGGUGAAUACGUUCCCGGGCCUU